rfam:Picea glauca, whole genome shotgun sequence.
ACAUGCUUACAACAUAGUAUUAAUGCACCAUAUCCCAUUAGAACUUCAUAAUUAAGUGCGCUCGGGCUAGAGUAGUACUAGGAUGGGUCACCACCCGGGAAGUCCUAGUAUUUUACAUGCC